rnacentral:rRNA from 1 species
UACGUAGGGGGCAAGCGUUAUCCGGAAUCACUGGGUGUAAAGGGAGCGUAGACGGCUGUGCAAGCCUGAAGUGAAAGGCGGGGGCCCAACCCCUGGACUGCUUUGGAAACUGCCAUGCUAGAGUGCUGGAGAGGUAAGUGGAAUUCCUAGUGUAGCGGUGAAAUGCGUAGAUAUUAGGAGGAACACCAGUGGCGAAGGCGGCUUACUGGACAGUAACUGACGUUGAGGCUCGAAAGCGUGGGGAGCAAACAGG